AUACAGCUGUUGUAGGUGCGCCAGUUGUAGGUGCUUCUGUUGUUGGUGCGGCUGUUGUAGGGGCUGCCGUCGUUGGUGCGGCCGUUGUUGGUGUGGCAGUUGUAGUUGCUGAUGUUGUAGCUGCAGCUGUUGUAGGUACUGCGGUUGUUGUAAGUGCUGCUGUUGUUGGUGCAGCAGUUAUAGGUGCAACAGUUGUAGAUGCGGCAGUUGCAGGUGCGGCUGUUGUCGGUGCGGCUGUUGUCGGUGCGGCUGUUGUUGGUGCGGCUGUUGUUGGUGCGACAGU